ACUUUACAAUGCGGGCAACCGUGAUAAGGGAACCUCGAGUGCCUGUAUAUGCAGGCUGUCCAGGUGCCUAAAACACACCUGAAGAAAGGGCCGGGCAAGACCGGUGCCAGCCGCCGCGGUAAUACCGGCGGCUCGAGUGGUGGCCACUUUUAUUGGGCUUAAAGCGUUCGUAGCUGGGUUGUUAAGUCUCUUGGGAAAUCCGGCGGCUCAACCGAUGGGCGUUCAGGAGAUACUGGCAACCUAGGGACCGGAGAGGUGAGAGGUACUCCAGGGGUAGGAGUGAAAUCCUGUAAUCCUUGGGGGACCACCUGUGGCGAAGGCGUCUCACUAGAACGGCUCCGACAGUGAGGGACGAAAGCUGGGGGAC
rnacentral:rRNA from 1 species